rnacentral:lncRNA from 1 species
CUUCAAAUAAACUGUUGCAUCUUGUAAUUUUUUUCUUUGAGAGCAAAAUGAUAUUUUUGAGGUGUCAUUUAAAAAAACCCGACCCUUUUGUCUGAUAGUAAGAGGUAAAUUGUUCAUACAUGGUAACUUUGAACUGUUAUGUUUUCCUAUCCCUGCCUAAACAUAAAUGGAGAAGUUGUUACAUUAAGCCAUUGCCCUGUAAUGGUUCUUUGAGAAAUGUUUAACUGUAGCUGCUGCUUUGUUGUAGUGAAAAGCUGUGAUUCAGACUUUGUACUAUGUUUUCAUUUCAGCUGUCACAGAAAGUGAAAGAUGAAGCCUCUUGUUUUCUUGGUUCUUGUGAUCUGUACUGUAGUCAGCAUGAAUUUGAAGUUCGUGUCAAAGAGAAAUUCUGGUUCUGGAUUUCAAAUUCCAGCUGUGCAGGGGGUUUGACACAACUUUGAGGCACUGCUGCUAUAUUCCUUGGCAGGUGCAGAAUAUUUGCAUUCCCAAAGGAGAAAGAAGCUUAUGAAGUGGGUGAGACAGAAAAGGCCUAAAACAGGUAUUAUUGCAAUUCACAAUGGAAAUAGAUGGGAUAUUUCUUUUGGCAGAUAAAAUUGAUU